AGGCGUGUAAGGGAUCAUAUUAAUCAGUUUGCAGUCACUCAAACUUCAAAAAAAUUUCCUUUGAAAACAACUAAUUUGCACAGCCUCUCGGCCUGUAAUGAUUCUCUAUGAGUUAUCGGCACGGAUUUCACAUCAGAAGCUGUAUGCUGCAAAAUAGAAGACCUUUAAACCUCUGUUCAGUUGGCUCUCGCGCACAGAGACUAAUUUUCCUCUCCCUUUACCUCCAUCCUGCCUCUUUGAAGAAAUUGUUGCAAGGAGGGAUUUUCUGCAUGACCUGUUUCAGGGUCACUUUAUGAAGACAACUUUCCCCAAAGCCCUUCCCCAGCACUAUUUCAGGAACACUUCUUUCCCAGCCAGUGUGUUGUCAAGGUCACGUGCCUGACUCUUGUGCAGCUGCAACCAGUUCUCCCAGAUUCGCCCAAGGUGGGAGCAAGUCUUUACAGGAACACAGAGCACAGGGCCAGGGAGGGGACAGCAGGGUACCGCCUGGCCUUGAGCCGGUGUGGCAGGGGCAUUGAAGGAGACAGCUCCCAAGACACAGUAACUGGCAUUCCGGUUCAUGCCCUUGGACCUACUGUCAGGACCGGGUGUGCGGAAGGGGUUUUAGAUACACAGACCAUUUGUUCUAAUUUAAUUCCUAUUUUAAACAUUUCAGUUGACCUAAAGGGACUCUUAAAAGUUUAUUUGGUGAAACUUGGCUCGCCCUAAACUGUAGAAGAAUCUUAACAGGAUCAUCAUUCCAUGGCCUCAAGAUGCUGACUCACUGAGAUUAUGACCAGAUUAAAAACAGCAGAAACAAAAACCAAGGAGGACUAAGUCUUUUGUGCCAUAUUUAAUCUUUGCAAAGCGGGGCAAAAUGCCUUCAAAUCAUGAUAUUCAAAAGCAUGGCCUGGUUGACACAGUUUGCAUCAGGGGAAAACAACGUGGGUUGUACGAGUCUGGGAUGUAUGGUCUGGUGAAGGCCUUUCCGAGCAAGGCCCCCCGGACUCCACGAGGGUCUGCACUGGUUCCGGGGUUCCGGGCUCCGGAAAUGAUGAAGAGCAGCUUCUGAUUUCACAACUGGAUCUUUGCUUCCCCUCCCUUCCCGUGCAUAUCCUAUAUCGCAAGUUUAUUUAUAAAAUACCUCACGGUGGAGUAAUUCAAAGAUUGGUGGAUCCCAAGUGGCUAAGCUGGAGCUGGUUAUCAGAGGAAAAACACAUACAGAUGUUCACCUGCUGGACUCACCCUGUUUCAUCGACCUGUUUGAUCUCAGGGGAGCUGCAACGCCAUUUAUUUCAGCCUGUAGGGGACAGGUCCUAAAGAUACUGAAACUGUUUUCUAUUGAGGAUAAACUCUGCACCGUGUUAUGGGUCCUCACCGUUUCUUCUUGAUAGUUGAGAAAACGAGGCCCGGAGUUGCGAAGUGAUUGUCAGGAGGUUACUCAGCUAGCUAAGAAUUUUAGCCAGAACAAAGAGCCCUAUCUUAUAUUCCUCCACUGACCCCUUCUUCCUCCCCUACCGACUUCCUUCUUGAGCCAUACUUGCUGAUGCUUCCAAAGUAGAAAUCCUUGCAACACCAUCUCUUCACUGCAUUUCCUUGUUGCUCAAGAUUUUUACAGAUUCAAGAUGUUCUUUGAAAAGAGAACUUUCCUGAAGUAAGCAAGAAUUCCAGUAAUGCCCCAAGGCAGACUUUUUUUUUUUUUUCUUCCUUUUUGGCUUCAGCUUACCCCUGACUCAUGUCUCUUGAUAACUGAGUUCUUCUAUACCAAGAACUUUAAUGAUUUUCGUCACUGGCUCUUCAGCCGUUCUUUGGCCUGAUUUGUUCUGUUUUCUUGGGUGGUUGGCCAUGAAACUGGAACCUUGAGAAGGAGGAGGCAAGCUCUGCCGUUCACACUCUUCUCAGCCAGAGCUGAUGGUGGCCCACGGAUGUUGUAGCUUAAGAUGGUUUUCUUGGAUAGUACCUUCUGUAGAAUUUGUAGCAAUUUUAGAAUUUCUGAGCAAACCAUCGAAAAUGAUUUCCUCCCUUUGUGGCUUUCAAGAGCUGGUCUCAGCAGUAAGGUGACAGACUCCAUUGACAACUCAGUAGCCUUUGGAAACGAAUGCUCUGGAUGAUGACAGGUGCUUCCAAGGGUCUUCUGCACCUGACCUUAAAGGAAACAGUGGGAGCUGUGGCCUUGGAGGUUUGCUGUGACCACUAACAGGAGAAGAAAGACCCGGGCCUUGUUCCUGGACAGUGGGCUCCAUAUCGUGGUGCUAGAAGAGAAUGGAGUUCAGCCACACUGCGGCCUCACUCAGGGGCAGCCUGGGAGCUCGAUCAGCCACUUUGGAUGGAGUGGACGCGUUCCAGGUGCAGGCUGGUGUGUGCUUCCAAGGGAACUUUCAAGUAAUGAACAGAUAUUUUUAGCCAUUGGAGAGAAAUCUUCCCUCAAGAAGAAGGACCUCAGAUACCCCCGAUGAUGUCAACACUCCACAUGGCUCCUCCUCCUCCGGCUCACUCCAGGGAAAAACCCUGUGCCUCCAGCUUGUCCCUGGAAGGGCUUGAACUACACAUCUGGCACCAUGACUGUUCCAGCUCUUGUCUGACUUCCAACCCGCCAAUCUCUGAGGCUGACAUGCAGGCAAUUGCUUCUCCCCAGGAUCCACUGUGAAUAAAGGGGCAAGUUUUGAAUGGCCCAGCUCUUC